UUUUUUUUUUUAAGGGCUGCGCAUGUGGCUUGUGGAGGUUCCCAGGUUAGGGGAUCGAAUUGGAGCUGCAGCUGCCAGCCUACACCACAGCCACAGCAGCAGUGGCUCCGAGCUACAUCUGCAAUCCACACCACAGCUCAUAGCAAUGCCAGAUCCUUAAACCCACUGAGAGAGGCCAGGGAUCCAACCGCAUCCUCAUGAGUCGGAUUUGUUGCCACUGAACCACAAUGGGAACUCCUUUUUUUUUUUUAAUAGUACAGUUUUUAUUUUUUAAUAUUAUUAUUUUUAAAAUUUUAUUGGAGUAGACUUACAAUGUUAUCUUCGUUUCAGGUGUACAGCAAAGUGAAUCAGUUUUACAUAUACAUAUAUCAUUUUUUCCCAUAUAGGUUAUUACAGACUAUUGAGUAGAUUUCCCUGUGCUAUACAGUAGACCCUUGUUAAUUAUCUAUUUUAUAUACAGUUGUGUGUAUGUUCUAUUCCCAUCCUCCUAAUUUGUCCUCCCCCUCCCUCCCCCACAGAUCAGAAGCUUCUGAUUCUUGGAGUUCCCGUCAUGGCACAGUGGUUAACGAAUCCGACUAGGAACCAUGAGGUUGCAGGUUCGGUCCCUGGCCUUGCUCAGUGGGUUAACGAUGCGGCGUUGCCGUGAGCUGGGGUGUAGGUCGCAGACGCGGCUCAGAUCCCUCAUUGCUGUGGCUUUGGUGUAGGCCAGUGGCUAUAGCUCCCAUUAGACCCCUAGCCUGGGAACCUCCAUAUGUCAUGGGAGUGGCCCUAGAAAAGGCAAUAAGACAGAAAAAAAAAAAAGUAGCUUCCAAUUCUUGUCCACAAGGCCAAUGCUGGGCGGGUGGGAUCCUUAUCAGCAAGAAUGUGGAUCGAGUGGUCAGCAGCCCCUUCCAGCAUCACAUGGGUGAUUUAUGAUGCCUGUGAGCGCCAGGCUGCUCCUCACACCUCAGGAAGAGCAGAGCCAGGGGUCAAGCCCCUUGCCUGAAGCAACGUCAGUGAUAAGGAGACCCCUUCUGGAAUCAAAUGGCCAUUUUCAAAUUUUCAAAUGAACAUCUUGAGUGAUCAAGUACUGGAUGCACCCCUGUUCCUGGCAGAGAGGAUGGCGCUAGGCCAUGAGCUCGAGGAUGCACUGGCAUGUCAUUCAUUCAGCACAUGUCUAGGGAGCUCCUAUCAUACACCACGCAUGGUGAGACAGGAAGUCACAGUGAGCACAACAGAAAAGGUCUCUGCCCUUAUGGAACUUACAUUCUUGUAGAAGAUACAUGAUAAACAAAUAUCUAAGAUAAUUUGAAACCCUGAUGUAUAGGAUGAGAGAAAUGAAAAGCAUGCAGGGAGUCCUUAGAAAUGACAGUCAAGGAAUUAACAUUUCACCUGAAGGAGACGGAGCCCUCGGCCAUGUGAAGAACUAGGGAAAGUCAUCCAGGAAGGGGAAGCGAGAGCACAAAGGCCCCGAGGCGGGAUGUAGCUUGGUUUGUUCAGGGAAUAUAGUAAACUGUGAGAACUGCCCCAAUAUUUAGCACUAAAGUUCCUAAGUAACCCCUGCAAGAAAGACCAUCGUGUUACGGGUUUCCAGUGCACACAGGGUCCAGAGUGUCUCAAGCUCUGGCCCUCGAGUGGGUCUUUAUUUUCGGGCUGGAUGGUAGGAAGGCAGGUGGGAAAGAAAAUGGCAGUGACCCUUCCUCCAUCAGGGAGUUUGAAAAGAGCUCCUGGGUGGGUUGUGGUGCUCUGGCUGGGUGAGGGGAGAACCUGGCCAGAACCGAGAUGGACCCCCCUGACUGUCCCCAGCUGCCCCAGGUGUGCGGAGGGUUUGCUUAUUCCCUUCUGCAUAGGACCUGAAGUCAUAAACCAGGGGCCAGUUUUCUCUAAGGGGGACAGGGUCCUCAAGGAACAGGUGAGGAGAUGGUGUACCCUGGGGGCCUCUGGACAUUACAGUCAUGGCUGGGGGCCUCUGGAGGUUAUGGGUCACUGCUGGGGAGGGACAGGUUGUUGCUGGAGGCUUGGGCCUCUGAGCAACCCCUGGCUCUGUCUGCCUUUCAGAGUUGCCCCAGAGCCUGGAAUCACUCCAGGGGCAAGGGCCAUGCGUCUGCCAAGGCCUGCUCAGCUCUCCUUGGCCACAGGAGCACAGGACCAGGGCAAGGAGGUGGGAGCCAGGGCUGGGGUGGGGAGUGGGGCCAUGACCAGUGGAGGCCUUGGGACAUGCACGGGGCAGAGGAGGCCCUUGAAGUCCUGGGCGGCAGGUUCCUCAAAAGCAAAACCACUUGAAAUACAUCAUCCAGGACAGCUGAGGCCCCUGUGGCCAGCCCCCAACAGCCCGGGAGGCUUCUGUUGUGGAAAACCCUGGCCAGCAUGGGCAGCUGCUGCCUGGCGAUGCCCAGAGAGGCAUCUCCCCACGGACACCCUACCCCUGCACAGGGCCUGGGAUGGCUGGGGGCAAGGGGCCUAGGGGCCGAGGGACGAGGAGGUGACUCUGCCUCCUUCGGGCUCCAGGACCCAGCCCUGAGCCUAGGCCUCCCCAUCUUGGCUCUGUCCCUUUCUUCUCCUUCUGUUCCCGGCUCUGACUUUUCCCCCAGUGAAGGUAGCCUCAGAGGCUCGCCUGCCCUGAGCUGCUGCCAAUAAGCUGCAGAAGGCAGAGGCUUGGCGAGCACUAUGUCGCCUGUGUGGGAGCGGCAGGGCUAAUUAUACUCAGCUGGCGGCAGUGGCUUGGAGGUGGCCGGGAGUUUCCCAGCUUGCUGGCUUGCCUGGCCUCCCAUGUGGUAAACACUGCAGGGGGGUGUGGAGACAGAGGCUGGGAGCCGGGCCAGGCCUUGAAGGGGAGCCAGGUGGGGCAGCCCGACCAAUCACUGGCUCCAACGAAGAACCCACUUAGUAUCGUUGGGCCCUUGGCUGUGGGGCAGCUCUCACCCUGCUCCAGGGUCUGGGCCCAGGGUCCUGCUGAGGGGGUCAGUGACCCAAGAUCUGCAAAGCUGGGACAUGGUGGAGCCAGAUGGGGUGGAACGCUUGGGGAAGGCCCAGAGAAGGACCUGCUGGAGAUGCCUUUCCUUUUCCUACAAAUCCUGGGGACUUUCCUGGGGUCCGGGCUGCUGUGUACAGCUGUGCAGGUUUGGGCUGAGGUGGAAGUGGAGCUACCCCAGCUUGUGCUGGCCUGUGACCAUCUGGACGACAGGUCACCUUUUCCCAAAGCACUCUGAGGCCCUGUGUGGGCCGGUGCCUGGUGCCCAGUGCCCGGGGCCAGGGUCAGAGGCGGUUCUUCAUCAGACUUGAGCCCUGGGCACUGGGGCCACUACUGGGCCUGGGGAGCUCUUUCCCCCAGGCUAGGGUGACCCUCUCAGGACUGCACAUCUGGCUGGUCAUCAGUGCUUCAGGCUCCUGAGGUGAGGUCCCAGCUUGGGAGGUGAGCAGCAGGUUGGCAGAAUAGCCCGAGGGAAAGAACACAGACUCUCUCAUCCUCCCCAGCUGUUUGCUUCCAUAUCCUCCCCUGACUGUGUGCUAACUUAUGCCACUGUGGCAGGGUCACGUCCAAAACAUUCAUAUUUCAUCCCAACUCACUUGAGUCCCAUAGAAUUGGAAUGAGGCAUGAGCCUGCGGAAGUGAGGCCAGGAGUCAGUGUGGUACCUGCAUUGAUCUGAAAAAUAUAAACCAUGAGGCUCACUUACCUGUCAAAUGAGUCCACUGAGGCAGGACCAAUGAUUUAAUUUCAUACCUAUCCUUACACAAUUCACAAGCAUGUUUAGAUUUACACACACUCACCUGAAAGCCCGAUUUACUGAGUCAGCCAACACUUAGUGAACACUUCCUGGGUCUCACUCAGCUUCGUGUGAAGACGGUAGGGAAGCAAAUACACCCUGUCCUCAACUCAUGUUCUAGUGGGCAAGACCCAUCAAAAGACCAAGAAAACAAACACAAAAAUUUGUUUCCUGUCAUGGCGCAGCAGAAAUGAAUGCGACUAGGAACCACAAGGUUGUGGGUUUGAGCCCUGGCCUUGCUCAGUGGGUUAAGGAUCCAACAUAGCCCUGAGCUGUGGUGUAGGUCGCAGACAAACCUCGGAUCUGGUGUUGCUGUGGCUGUGGUGUUGGCCGGCCGCUGUAGCUCCGAUUGGAACCCUAGUCUGGGAAUCUCCAUGUGCCGCAAGUGCAGCCUUCAAAAGCAAAAGCAAAAAAAAAAAAAAAGAAAGAAUUGCAAAUGACAAUAAGCCUUAGGGAGGAACCAGCCAAAGCCGGAGACUAAUGGGCUUAGUCGGAGUGUUGAAGGUGUCACUGAGCUGGUCUUGCUUCACCACUGCUAU
rnacentral:lncRNA from 1 species